ensembl:lncRNA
AACUGAUGGACACCAAGGACUUCCACUCAUUUCAGGAGCAACAUCAAGCCCCUGCCAAGAGGGAGUUACUUUAUGGGGUGAUCACCACAGGAAACAAAGGAAGCAGUCAUUAAAGGUCACCUCCUGCAGAGGCCUCACAUUCCCAGCCACUUAGACCAGCUUCCUGGGAAGAAAUGGCUGCGCUGACACCUCAGCUCCGAGGGCCAUGUGGAAAGAUGCUGCUUAGGGUGCUGUAAUUGAAGAUGGCGGCCAGGGGGCCGUGUACAGAAAUGAUGCACCUGGCCCUGUGAUCUGGGCGCACAGCUACACAGCUGAGCCCACCCAGCGAGAACCGCAACCCUCUCCGCUCACAUGAGCCACAAGCAGCAGCCCCGUGGAGGGCUUUUAGGGGAGAGCAUGUGCUCCAGAGCAAGUUCUAUUGGAACAAGCCAAACCUGGCAAAGGACACUUCUUGGGGUCUGACGUGGGAGGGUGGGUAACAGACUAGGAAGAAAUCCAACCCUCUUCUGCCCAAUAACAGAAUGUGAUUCUCCAAGAAACCUAGAUAAGGGAGAAGCAGCAGACUAG